GACGAACGCUGGCGGCGUGCUUAACACAUGCAAGUCGAACGGAAAGGCCCUGCUUUUGUGGGGUGCUCGAGUGGCGAACGGGUGAGUAACACGUGAGUAACCUGCCCUUGACUUUGGAUAACUUCAGGAAACUGGGGCUAAUACCGGAUAGGAGCCCCUGCUGCAUGGUGGGGGUUGGAAAGUUUCGGCGGUUGGGGAUGGACUCGCGGCUUAUCAGCUUGUUGGUGGGGUAGUGGCUUACCAAGGCUUUGACGGGUAGCCGGCCUGAGAGGGUGACCGGCCACAUUGGGACUGAGAUACGGCCCAGACUCCUACGGGAGGCAGCAGUGGGGAAUAUUGCACAAUGGGCGGAAGCCUGAUGCAGCAACGCCGCGUGCGGGAUGACGGCCUUCGGGUUGUAAACCGCUUUCGCCUGUGACGAAGCGUGAGUGACGGUAAUGGGUAAAGAAGCACCGGCUAACUACGUG
rnacentral:rRNA from 1 species